rnacentral:rRNA from 1 species
GACGAACGCUGGCGGCGUGCCUAAUACAUGCAAGUUGAGCGAUGAAGAUUGGUGCUUGCCCCAAUUUGAAGAGCAGCGAACGGGUGAGUAACGCGUGGGGAAUCUGCCUUUGAGCGGGGGACAACAUUUGGAAACGAAUGCUAAUACCGCAUAACAACUUUAAACAUAAGUUUUAAGUUUGAAAGAUGCAAUUGCAUCACUCAAAGAUGAUCCCGCGUUGUAUUAGCUAGUUGGUGAGGUAAAGGCUCACCAAGGCGAUGAUACAUAGCCGACCUGAGAGGGGGAUCGGCCACAUUGGGACUGAGACACGGCCCAAACUCCUACGGGAGGCAGCAGUAGGGAAUCUUCGGCAAUGGACGAAAGUCUGACCGAGCAACGCCGCGUGAGGGAAGAAGGUUUUCGGAUCGUAAAACUCUGUUGGUAGAGAAGAACGUUGGUGAGAGUGGAAAGCUCAUCAAGUGACGGUAACUACCCAGAAAGGGACGGCUAACUACGUG